UGAUGAAUUGAGCUGCACUUAAGAAGAGAGUGGAUGGAAAUUAAGCUCCUACACAAUGCGUGGGCAGCGCUGCCAAGCUCAUGACAAAGUGGAAAGUGUUUUAUUUCAAACCUUAUAAUGUUUCUCAGACGUGAGGCAGUGCCGUCAAAGCAAGAAAGAGAAGAGUGGAGGAAGAAAGGGAAAGCGGAGUGAGCUAUAUAGCCGGGCAGAUAAUUGACACUCUCAGAAAACAAGCCACCACUUCUCCUCUUCCUCUCAUGGGCUGAGUGCCGUGCUGUUGCUGAAGUUAUUGUGCUCAUUGUAAGACACAAAGCAGGGAGGAAUGUUUGGCCGGCUCUCUGGGAAACGCCACUUCAGGGCCCACAGCUGUCACAGCCUGGGGACUUGAAUUCUGCCACAGAGGGUUCAAUGGUGAGGAGCUGGCAGAGGGAGAUAUGCUUUUUACUUAAGGAUGGCAAGCUGUGAGUGAACUUGAUGUGAAACCAACACUGGCUGCUCUGAUAUUCACUAACUCAAAUGUGCUUUUCGUGUUUUCACUUCCAGGAUCACACACACACUAUCAUUCUUCCCAUCACAUAACGUGUCUCUCCUUUUUU